rnacentral:rRNA from 1 species
UGUAUUUAUUAGAUUAAAAACCAAUGCCCUUCGGGGCUCCUUGGUGAUUCAUAAUAACUUAACGAAUCGCAUGGCCUUGUGCCGGCGAUGGUUCAUUCAAAUUUCUGCCCUAUCAACUUUCGAUGGUAGUAUAUGGGACUACCAUGGUUUCAACGGGUAACGGGGAAUUAGGGUUCUAUUCCGGAGAGGGAGCCUGAGAAACGGCUACCACAUCCAAGGAAGGCAGCAGGCGCGCAAAUUACCCAAUCCCGACACGGGGAGGUAGUGACAAUAAAUACUGAUACAGGGCUCUUUUGGGUCUUGUAAUUGGAAUGAGUACAAUUUAAAUCCCUUAACGAGGAACAAUUGGAGGGCAAGUCUGGUGCCAGCAGCCGCGGUAAUACCAGCUCCAAUAGCGUAUAUUAAAGUUGUUGCAGUUAAAAAGCUCGUAGUUGAACCUUGGGCCUGGCUGGCCGGUCCGCCUCACCGCGUGCACUGGUCCGGCCGGGUCUUUCCUC